rnacentral:rRNA from 1 species
CGCGUAGACGGUUUUGUAAGUCAGAUGUGAAAUCCCCGGGCUCAACCUGGGAACUGCAUUUGAGACUGCAUGGCUAGAGUAUCGAAGAGGGAAGUGGAAUUUCCGGUGUAGCGGUGAAAUGCGUAGAUAUCGGAAGGAACACCAGUGGCGAAAGCGACUUCCUGGUCGAAUACUGACGUUCAUGUGCGAAAGCGUGGGGAGCAAACAGGAUUAGAUACCCUGGUAGUCCACGCCAUAAACGAUGACAACUAGAUGUUGGGAGGGUCUGCCUCUCGGUGUCGCAGCUAACGCGUUAAGUUGUCCGCCUGGGGAGUACGGCCGCAAGGUUGAA